GUCGAGCGAACGGACGAGAAGCUUGCUUCUCUGAUGUUAGCGGCGGACGGGUGAGUAACACGUGGAUAACCUACCUAUAAGACUGGGAUAACUUCGGGAAACCGGAGCUAAUACCGGAUAAUAUUUUGAACCGCAUGGUUCAAAAGUGAAAGACGGUCUUGCUGUCACUUAUAGAUGGAUCCGCGCUGCAUUAGCUAGUUGGUAAGGUAACGGCUUACCAAGGCAACGAUGCAUAGCCGACCUGAGAGGGUGAUCGGCCACACUGGAACUGAGACACGGUCCAGACUCCUACGGGAGGCAGCAGUAGGGAAUCUUCCGCAAUGGGCGAAAGCCUGACGGAGCAACGCCGCGUGAGUGAUGAAGGUCUUCGGAUCGUAAAACUCUGUUAUUAGGGAAGAACAUAUGUGUAAGUAACUGUGCACAUCUUGACGGUACCUAAUCAGAAAGCCACGGCUAACUACGUGCCAGCAGCCGCGGUAAUACGUAGGUGGCAAGCGUUAUCCGGAAUUAUUGGGCGUAAAGCGCGCGUAGGCGGUUUUUUAAGUCUGAUGUGAAAGCCCACGGCUCAACCGUGGAGGGUC
rnacentral:rRNA from 1 species